rnacentral:rRNA from 1 species
GACGAACGCUGGCGGCGUGCUUAACACAUGCAAGUCGAACGCUGAACCCGCUUCGGUGGGGGAUGAGUGGCGAACGGGUGAGUAACACGUGGGCAACCGGCCCCCGGCUCUGGGAUAACUCCAAGAAAUUGGGGCUAAUACCGGAUGUGACCGCUGGCCGCAUGGUCUGGUGGUGGAAAGGGGUUCCGGCUGGGGAUGGUCCCGCGGCCUAUCAGCUUGUUGGUGGGGUAGUGGCCUACCAAGGCGACGACGGGUAGCCGGCCUGAGAGGGUGACCGGCCACACGGGACCUGAGACACGGCCGGGACUCCAACGGGAGGAAGAGGGGGGGAAUAUUGCGCAAUGGGCGGAGGCCUGACGCAGAGACGCCGGGUGGGGGAUGUCGGCCUUCGGGUGGUAAACCUCUUUCAGCAGGGAGGAGGCGGAAGGGAGGGAACCUGCAGAAGAAGAACGGGCAACUUAGGG